UACGUAGGGUGCAAGCGUUAAUCGGAAUUACUGGGCGUAAAGCGUGCGCAGGCGGUUAUGCAAGACAGGUGUGAAAUCCCCGAGCUCAACUUGGGAACUGCACUUGUGACUGCAAAGCUAGAGUACGGUAGAGGGGAGUGGAAUUCCGCGUGUAGCAGUGAAAUGCGUAGAUAUGCGGAGGAACACCGAUGGCGAAGGCAGCUCCCUGGACCUGUACUGACGCUCAUGCACGAAAGCGUGGGGAGCAAACAGG
rnacentral:rRNA from 1 species